UACGGAGGGUGCAAGCGUUAAUCGGAAUUACUGGGCGUAAAGCGCGCGUAGGCGGCUUCGUCAGUUGGGUGUGAAAGCCCCGGGCUUAACCUGGGAACUGCAUCCAAUACUGCGAGGCUAGAGUAUGGUAGAGGGAAGUGGAAUUUCAGGUGUAGCGGUGAAAUGCGUAGAUAUCUGAAGGAACACCAGUGGCGAAGGCGGCUUCCUGGACCAAUACUGACGCUGAGGUGCGAAAGCGUGGGGAGCAAACAGG
rnacentral:misc_RNA from 1 species